GCAGGACCUCCCGUUGGCAUCUUCCGAGACUAAUCCAACUGUAAAACAACUGGAAGAAGACGCGCAACACUCUGCAAGUGGAAAGAGCAGAUUGGAAGCCACUGUCCAGCAGCCAAGCGAUAGCGCUGAAGCCCUUCCGAGAGACCUGCAAGCCUCUGCCUCAGGUGGUGAACUUUCCCAGCAGCUGGACAUGGAGCCUGGAACAGCCAUGCAGCCAGAGGCCCAAAACCAGGCUCUGCAAGAAGAGCUGUCCACUCUGCUUGGGAAAUGUGAAAACCUGGAGAAGAGCAAAUGUCAGCUGCAAGAAGA